UGCUGACAGCUUCAUCAGGGCAUCAGGGAGAAUGAGCCUGGCGGGUUUACUGUGGUCACGGUCGAGUUGUGUCACAAAAUAGGAUUUUGGACUCAAGUCUUAUUCUUUAGUUUAUUUAAUAUAUCAGUCUUCUUCCAUUAUUUCCUCAUUUGCCUUAAUUGAAGAUCCUAGAAUUAUGGUGCAGUUUAGAAAGCCUGAAGUUUAAGGGGAAAUGGUAAAGAGAAAAAGGACCGGAGCAGGAUUCGAUUCAGAGCCAACUGGUUUUCUUCUUUCCUAUUUCAGGGGAGUAGCUUCUUCAGCAGACUCUCCGCUGCUUGUGCUCCACAUUGCAUCGCUCACACCAUGGAAUGGUGUUUCCAUUCAUUGUUCUUGAGUUCAUUUGGUGUAGAAGAGCUGGUUCUAAAGAGAACUUCUCCCUGCUGUCUUUUUCUUCCAGAACACUGGGGUGAUGGGUAUACCGCAACAGUUGCCUGGCGCUCUCCUAGCUCUAAGCGAAAGACAUGAGGCCUCAGCCUGAAAUGAGGUUGUUUUGAGGUCAUCUGAUUUCUGACUAGAAGGUUUGCAAUUUUUUUUGGUGAUGGCAUGUUCAGAAUCUUGG
rnacentral:lncRNA from 1 species